rnacentral:pre_miRNA from 1 species
AGUGGGAUAGCUGGGUCAAAUGGUAGUUCCAUUCCAAGUUUUCCAAGGAAUGUCCAUACUGCUUUUCGUAUUAGCUGCACCAAUUUUGCAGUCCCACCAGCAAU